rnacentral:rRNA from 1 species
UGUUGCCUACGGGACGCAGCAGUGGGGAAUAUUGCACAAUGGGGGGAACCCUGAUGCAGCGACGCCGCGUGAGUGAAGAAGUAUUUCGGUAUGUAAAGCUCUAUCAGCAGGGAAGAUAAUGACGGUACCUGACUAAGAAGCCCCGGCUAACUACGUGCCAGCAGCCGCGGUAAUACGUAGGGGGCAAGCGUUAUCCGGAUUUACUGGGUGUAAAGGGGGCGCAGACGGCAGCGCAAGCCAGGAGUGAAAGCCCGGGGCCCAACCCCGGGACUGCUCUUGGAACUGCGCGGCUGGAGUGCAGGCGG